rnacentral:rRNA from 1 species
UGGUAAUGCCGGAUGUUCCACAUGAUCGCAUGUGAUUGUGGGAAAGAUUCUAUCGGCGUGGGAUGGGGUCGCGUCCUAUCAGCUUGUUGGUGAGGUAACGGCUCACCAAGGCUUCGACGGGUAGCCGGCCUGAGAGGGCGACCGGCCACAUUGGGACUGAGAUACGGCCCAGACUCCUACGGGAGGCAGCAGUGGGGAAUAUUGCACAAUGGGCGCAAGCCUGAUGCAGCGACGCCGCGUGAGGGAUGGAGGCCUUCGGGUUGUAAACCUCUUUUGUUUGGGAGCAAGCCUUCGGGUGAGUGUACCUUUCGAAUAAGCGCCGGCUAACUACGUGCCAGCAGCCGCGGUAAUACGUAGGGCGCAAGCGUUAUCCGGAUUUAUUGGGCGUAAAGGGCUCGUAGGCGGCUCGUCGCGUCCGGUGUGAAAGUCCAUCGCUUAACGGUGGAUCUGCGCCGGGUACGGGCGGGCUGGAGUGCGGUAGGGGAGACUGGAAUUCCCGGUGUAACGGUGGAAUGUGUAGAUAU